rnacentral:rRNA from 1 species
GAUGAACGCUGGCGGCGUGCCUAAUACAUGCAAGUCGAGCGAACAGAUAAGGAGCUUGCGCCUUUGACGUUAGCGGCGGACGGGUGAGUAACACGUGGAUAACCUACCUAUAAGACUGGGAGAACUUCGGGAAACCGGAGCUAAUACCGGAUAACAUAUUGAACCGGAUGGUUCAAUAGUGAAAGGCGGCUUUGCUGUUACUUAUAGAUGGAUCCGCGCCGUAUUAGCUAGUUGGUAAGGUAACGGCUUACCAAGGCAACGAUACGUAGCCGACCUGAGAGGGUGAUCGGCCACACUGGAACUGAGACACGGUCCAGACUCCUACGGGAGGCAGCAGUAGGGAAUCUUCCGCAAAGGGCGAAAGCCUGACGGAGCCACGCCGCGUGAGUGAUGAAGGUCUUCGGAUCGUAAAACUCUUUUAUCAGGGAAGAACAAAUGUGUAAGUAACUGUGCACAUCUUGACGGUACCUGAUCAGAAAGCCACGGCUAACUACGUG